rnacentral:rRNA from 1 species
GACAUAGGUGGCGAACGUUAUCCGGAUUUAUUGGGCGUAAAGGAUGCGUAGGUGGUAGAAUAAGUUAUUGGUCGAAGUCAGGCUCAACUUGACGGAAGCUGGUAAAACUAUUUUGCUAGAGGAUAGGAGAGGUUAGCGGAACUCUAUGAGUAAGGGUGAAAUCUGUUGAUCCAUGGAGGACCACCAAAAAAGCGAAGGCAGCCAACUAU